ensembl:lncRNA
GCGGCCAAGUUCUGAUGUUGCAAUGAGAAAUAAUUUAUAAGCUAUAUAAGGAGGUCUGGCAGUAUCCUCAGACAUUAGAAAUAAGUUUGAAAUGUACUCAUGUGAAGAGAGAGGAGUUAAAACACGUCUUCAUUAAUUAUAGCGCCCCCUAGAGGUCAAUGGUCACCAAAUUCAUUAAGCGUCCCCAUGAUGAUGUUAUGGGUCUAUGUUUCAAGUUUGGUUAUGAUUUGUCAAAGGGAUGCUGAGAAAUUGCCGUGUUUCCGGUUUGGCGGCUUCGCGGUCGAAUAUCAUUGGCUCUCGCGGAUAUUUCUGCGAGAAAUAAUAUACUAGCUAUACGGGGAGGUCUGAUAGUAUCACUAGACAUUGAAAAUAAGUUUUAAAUGUACUCAUGUGAAGAGAGAGGAGUCAAAACACAUCGACAUUAAUAACAGCGCCCCCUAGAGGUCAAUGGUCACCAAAUUCAUUAAGCGUCCCCA